UGGAAUGAUCGGCGGACGGGUGACUAACACGUGGGCAACCUACCUAUAAGACUGGGAUAACUCGUGGAAACAGGAGCUAAUACCGGAUAACCAGUGCGUUCGCAUGAACGCACUUUAAAAGGCGGCAUUUGCUGUCACUUAUAGAUGGGCCCGCGGCGCAUUAGCUAGUUGGUGAGGUAACGGCUCACCAAGGCACGAUGCGUAGCCGACCUGAAUUGGUGAUCGGCCACACUGGGACUGAGNCACGGCCCAACUCCUACGGGAGGCAGCAGUAGGGAAUCUUCCGCAAUGGACGAAAGUCUGACGGAGCAACGCCGCGUGAACGAUGAAGGUUUUCGGAUCGUAAAGUUCUGUUGUAGGGAAGAACACGUACCGUUCGAAUAGGGCGGUACUUGACGGUACCUAACGAGAAAGCCCCGGCUAACUACGUGCCAGCAGCCGGGUAAUACGUAGGGGGCAAGCGUUGUCCGGAAUUAUUGGGCGGUACAGCGCGCGCAUGCGGUCCUUUUACUCUGAUGGUAAACUCUUGCGGGA
rnacentral:rRNA from 1 species